GUAGAUGAAACAGCCUUCUACUGGAAGAAGACACUGUCUAGGACUUUCAUGGCUAGAGAGAAGUCAAUGCCUAACUCCAAAUCUUCAAACGAUAGGCUGACUCUCCUGUUAGGGGAUAAUGCAGUUAAUGACUGU
rnacentral:miRNA from 1 species